rnacentral:rRNA from 1 species
UACGUAGGGACCAAGCGUUGUUCGGAUUUACUGGGCGUAAAGGGCGCGUAGGCGGCGUGGUAAGUCACUUGUGAAAUCUCUGAGCUUAACUCAGAACGGCCAAGUGAUACUGCUGUGCUCGAGUGUGGAAGGGGCAAUCGGAAUUCUUGGUGUAGCGGUGAAAUGCGUAGAUAUCAAGAGGAACACCUGAGGUGAAGACGGGUUACUGGGCCAACACUGACGCUGAGGCGCGAAAGCCAGGGGAGCGAACGGG